rnacentral:rRNA from 1 species
GACGAACGCUGGCGGCGUGCUUAAUACAUGCAAGUCGAACGAACAGACCCGAAUUUUGCUUCUCUGAUGUUUGCCGCGGGCGGGUGAGUCACGCGUGUAUCACCUACCUAUAAGACUGGGAUCACUUCGGAACACGGGAUCUUAUACCGUAUAAUCUUUUGAACCGCAUGGUUCAUAAGUGAAUGACGGUCUUUCUGUCACUUAUAGAUGGUUCCCGGCUGCAUUAGCUGGUUGUUACGGUCACGGCUUACUAAGGCAACGAUGCGUAGCCGACCUGAGAGUGGGAUCGGCGACACUGGAACUGAGACAGGGUCCAGACUCCUACGGGAGGGCGCAGUAGGGAAUGGUACGCAAUGGGCGAGAGCCUGACGGAGCAACGGCGAGUGAGUGAUGAAGGUCUUCGGAUCGGAAAACUCUGUUAUUAGGGAAGAACAGAUGUGUAAGUAACUGUGCACAUCGUGACGGUACCUAAUCAGAAAGCAACGGCUAACUACGUG